AAGAGCUCAAAUUUGAAAUCUGGCACCUUCGGUGUCCGAGUUGUAAUUUGUAGAAGCAUCUUUUGGAUUGGUCCUUGCAUAUGUUCCUUGGAACAGGACAUCAUAGAGGGUGAGAAUCCCGUUCAUGGUGGGGAAUCCAAUUCUUUGUAAAGUGCUUUCGAAGAGUCGAGUUGUUUGGGAAUGCAGCUCUAAGUGGGUGGUAAAUUCCAUCUAAAGCUAAAUAUUGGCGAGAGACCGAUAGCGAACAAGUACAGUGAUGGAAAGAUGAAAAGAACUCCGAAAGGAGAGUGAAAAAGGACGUGAAAUUGUUGAAAGGGAAGUGCUUGAGAUCAGUCUUAAGGUUUAGUGAUCAGUCUUCCUUUUGGUUGGUGCACUCACUAUUUCUUAGGCCAACAUCAGUUUUGGCGGCAGGAUAAUGACAUUGGAAUGUGGCUCUUUCGGGAGUGUUAUAGCCUUUGUUGAUACUGCCUGCUUAGACUGAGGACUGCGCUUUUGCUAGGAUGUUGGCAUAAUGAUCUUAAGCAGC
rnacentral:rRNA from 1 species